AGAUUGAACGCUGGCGGCAUGCUUUACACAUGCAAGUCGAACGGUAACAGGCCGCAAGGUGCUGACGAGUGGCGAACGGGUGAGUAAUGUAUCGGAACGUGCCCAGUCGUGGGGGAUAACGCAGCGAAAGCUGCGCUAAUACCGCAUACGAUCUAUGGAUGAAAGCGGGGGACCGUAAGGCCUCGCGCGAUUGGAGCGGCCGAUAUCAGAUUAGGUAGUUGGUGGGGUAAAGGCUCACCAAGCCAACGAUCUGUAGCUGGUCUGAGAGGACGACCAGCCACACUGGGACUGAGACACGGCCCAGACUCCUACGGGAGCAGCGAGUGGGGAAUUUUGGACAAGUGGGCGCAAGCCUGAUCCAGCAAUCGCCGCGUGCGAGGAAGAAGGCCUUGGGUUGUAAACUGUACGUUUUGUAACGGAACGAAACGGUCCGUUA
rnacentral:rRNA from 1 species